CCUACGGGAGGCAGCAGUGGGGAAUAUUGCACAAUGGGGGAAACCCUGAUGCAGCGACGCCGCGUGAGUGAAGAAGUAUUUCGGUAUGUAAAGCUCUAUCAGCAGGGAAGAAAAUGACGGUACCUGAUUAAGAAGCCCCGUCUAACUACGUGCCAGGAGCCGCGGUAAUACGGAGGGGGCAAGCGUUAUCCGGAUUUACGGGGUGUAAAGGGGGCGUAGACGGUGAUGCAAGUCAGAAGUGAAAGCCCCGGGCUGAACUCCGGGACUGCUUUUGAAACUGUGUGACUGGAGUGCAGGAGAGGUAAGCGGAAUUCCUGGUGUAGCGGUGAAAUGCGUAGAUAUCAGGAGGAACACCAGUGGCGAAGGCGGCUUACUGGACUGUAACUGACGUUGAGGCUCGAAAGCGUGGGGAGCAAACAGGAUUAGAUACCCCAGUAGUC
rnacentral:rRNA from 1 species